GUUCCUGUGCAGCCUUACUGCUGAAGGAAGAAGAAAUAAUCUUAUGACAAGGAUAUAAGGAUGUGGCUUCAGACAAAACUGAACCAGUAUUUACUUGUGCAUGUACAUCAGGCUGAAUUUGUAAUGGUUUUCAUUUUGCCUACCCUACCAUUCAUCCACAAGCACAGACAUCCAGUGGCCGCAUUUGCAUGGACAAAUGAGCUACUAUACAAUUGUGUGUUGAAAAGUUUAUGGUCUCUAAAAAUAUGCCUUUUGAAAAUGUGACAAUAAACCUUCUAUGUUCUCACGUCCA
rnacentral:lncRNA from 1 species